rnacentral:rRNA from 1 species
AGUGAACGCUGGCGGUAGGCCUAACACAUGCAAGUCGAACGGCAGCACAGUAAGAGCUUGCUCUUACGGGUGGCGAGUGGCGGACGGGUGAGGAAUACAUCGGAAUCUACUUUUUCGUGGGGGAUAACGUAGGGAAACUUACGCUAAUACCGCAUACGACCUACGGGUGAAAGCAGGGGAUCUUCGGACCUUGCGCGAUUGAAUGAGCCGAUGUCGGAUUAGCUAGUUGGCGGGGUAAAGGCCCACCAAGGCGACGAUCCGUAGCUGGUCUGAGAGGAUGAUCAGCCACACUGGAACUGAGACACGGUCCAGACUCCUACGGGAGGCAGCAGUGGGGAAUAUUGGACAAUGGGCGCAAGCCUGAUCCAGCCAUACCGCGUUGGUGAAGAAGGCCUUCGGGUUGUAAAGCCCUUUUGUUGGGAAAGAAAAGCAGCAGGUUAAUACCCCGCUGUUCUGGCGGUACCCAAAGAAUAAGCACCGGCUAACUUCGUG